GACGAACGCUGGCGGCGUGCUUAACACAUGCAAGUCGAACGGUGAACCUCUUCGGAGGGGAUCAGUGGCGAACGGGCGAGUAACACGUGGGCAACCUGCCCCCGGCUCUGUGAUAACUCCAAGAAAUUGGGGCUAAUACCGUAUGUUCACCGCUUCCCGCAUGGGUGGUGGUGCAAAGGUUUUGCGGCUGGGGAUGGGCCCGCGGCCUAGCAGCUUGGUGGUGUUGUAGUGGUCGACCAAGGCGGCGAGGGAUAGCCGACCUGGGAGGGUGGACGGCGACACUGGGCCUGAGGGAGGGACCAGAAUCGUACGGGCGGCAGCGGUGGAGAAUCUUGCGGAGUGGGGGGGAGCCUGACACGAAGGCGUCGCGUGGGGAAUGACGGGCUACGGGUUAUAAACCUCUUUCAGCGGGGCCGAACAGGAAGUGACGGUACCUGAAGAAGAAGCCCCGGCUAACUACGUG
rnacentral:rRNA from 1 species